rnacentral:tRNA from 1 species
UUUAAAAUAGUUUUAAAUAAAACAUUAUAUUGAAAAUAUAAAAAUGAUUUUUAUAAUCUUUUAUAA